UUGACCACUAUACCGUGAUAGAAAAAUAUUUCCAAUGAAUUAUAAAUAUUUUACAUUGUGAAUUAUAAAUAUUUGUUACAAAUUAUAUCGUACUUGAGGUGAAAAUGAACCAUAUAUCUGCUUAUGGAAUACGAGGUAGUAAAUCAUUCGAAACAUAAUAACGAUUAAUUAAGCACAUAUACAAUAACAUUUACGAAUGAAUAUUGCGAAUUAUUGUAUGACUUUAAUGCGGUAUUUAAUGUUUUGUUUGCGGUCUUUGAAAUGGUAUCAUAGGUGCUGAUAUAAUAUCGCGCGAAAAAGGAAAGACCAGUGGUUAAUAUUGCAGGUGCACCAGUGCGUUGCGCUCGUCGGGGGUGGUUUUGACGCCGGUGCCGAGGAGAGACGCAGAACGUGUUCGAUCGACCCGCGAACGUAGCCCGUGCUCAUACUGCGACAGAGUUCGUUUCAGUUAGGCUCAAUCGCUGUUUGUCCGUCGACAGCGUAUAGUCGCGUCGGCCUACGAUUCCUUUUUUCUUCUUGUUUCUUGCGAACUCUCUCGCAACAGCCGUUCUAUACGUACGCCGCCAGUAUAUCGCGUGAUCAUCGUUCCCGUUGCUUCCCUUACCCUCUCACGUCCUUCGAAGAAGACCUCCCUUUAGUUUUUCCUUGUUUGGAGGGAAUUCAUCGCUCGGACACAUGGACUGCGAAGCACGAGGGUUGAUCGAGGCAUCAGCGUGAUGUACUUUUCAGGUUUCAUAUUUUCUCUAUGAUACUUUCUAAGGAGAAUUUGAAAGAUAUACAUUUUUAGGAAAUAAAGGUUUUUAUGGAGUCAUCGAUAGGUUAGAAUUUAAUUAACUCUCUUAUAACAGGUAUUCCAAUUUUUUAAUAUAUAAAUUUAGUUUCCUCUAUGGUGUUAGAGAACACAAUGCGGGCAUUUUAUGAUAUAACGAAUAUAUUCGUAUAUAUUUUAGUUUAUUCAUUCGUCAAAUUUCCCUAGUAGGCCGGCCUGCAGCUCACAUGCAGCACUUAGUAAAAAUUUGUUUUGUUAGAGGUUGGCCAUUCUUCUUGCUAUAAGAAUAUCGUGAAGUCAUAUCAUAUGAUAAAGCACCUUCUGAAAGCUAGAUGCUCGAUAACGAGCCUAAUGAUUCUCGGUAGUUUGUAAUGUCAAGCUUUGAAUUGGCGAGAUCGCUCUGCUGUCAAACGGCCGUCCAGCGGCGACCACAUUCUUUAACCACGUUCAAGGGGUAUAUCACGCUACAGAAACCAUCAAAGGGUUUGCAAGUUAGUUGCCUUUUAGAAGUGGGGCAGUUGGUUGUUACAUGUAAUCCGUAGUUGCUGGCUGUUCUCCUUAGUCGCCAUACAUCAUAGAGACGACAGUUAUAGUCGCCAGUUGUCCUUGCUAAUGGUUGCUUGUUGUCGCUAGUUAGUUCUCGUUAUCGUUAUGUAUUCCAUCAAUCACGCGAAAUUUAACGUAUGGGAAUUUAUUCUUCUUUAUUCUUUCUGUAGGGAGAUUUUUUAAGACGAGGAAAAUAUAGAAUAUUUUAAGACGACGGUAAGGUUUGAAUUUAAGUAACUGUUUUAUGAUACAACAAAGUGGAAAGACGAUUUAAUUUUAUAAAGUUUAAGGUAAUUUUUUAAAAAACUUCGAAUUUAAAAGAUUCAAAUAGAUAUCUUAAACGUAAUUAAACCCUCCAUAUCGUAAGAAAUUAAAUGAAACUGCGCAACAAAGUUAAUACAUUUAAUGUAUUAUUUUAAACAUUUAUUUAAAAACAUUUAUUUAAAAUUUAACAUUUGUCAGUUCGUUACAUCUGCGGUAAAAGUUGUAACUACGAAGAAGCUUAACAUAUGGUGCGUCUCAAGACGACAGUAAAAAGUAUUAAGAGAUUUUUCGAGAUUUUUUCUUUUAAGUUUCCAAGUACUUUUUCUAUUUAACUUCUUUUUUUUUUUGUUGCAUUUUCUAACAAUAUUCGAUAAAUAGAGACGAAAUAUGACAGUUCUUAGUUCGGGGAUUUAUUGGUUCGAAAGUUACUUGAAAAGUGUUUCUGGAGUUCGUGCGGUUAAUACUUUUAAACUUUUACCGAGUACGACUUAUUCCGUAUGGCUGGACAAAUCUUUGUUGAUACUGUAAGCGUAACUGUAAGCGUCCGGAUAUUGUCUUGUGGAGAUAGAAAAAUACACGAAGUAUUGAUUGAACUACAUAUUUUUUUAAUUCUUUUUUAAUUCUUUUAGUUCUUCAUAUAUUGAUAAUAAAACGAUAUUCCGCUACUUUGAGCACAAUAUAGUAAUGUUUAAAUAAAUAAUAAAAUUUACGCAUUUCGUCUUCAUGCGUCGAUAAGAAAAUGCAAAAAAAGUUAAAGAAAGAUGAUGCGCAGACGCGAAGUUUAGUCAGCAAUAAUAUUUUAAACCUCUAAAAUAUAUUGUACACAUUUAUUUGCAAAUAAGCUCAAUGAAAUUGAACUGUAACUGUGUUUCCAAUAAUGUCUUCGAUGUAUUGCUCGCCAUUAUGUCGGAUUAACAGCUCUAAGUGAUCGACCUUAAUCACUAAAUGUCGGCCGUGAUUCAGUGGUAUAGCUUUACAUAUGACGGACAUCGCAGGCGCUUGUAAGACGUCCAUUGUGAAACGUUUCCAAUAGCACCGUUUAUGCACCGUUUAUGUGAUGGUGAAAUCUGAAUAUAUAUAUCGCUGAAAUAUAUAUCGCUUAUCACUUGAGUCUGACACGAUCGUUUUUAAAUAGAAUCACAAUUUUUUAUUCUUUACAAAAUCAGUCUUUAAAGAUUAUGUGCAAAUAAAAUAGAUAAAUAGAUAAAUGGUUGUAGAAACUUAUAAAACAGAUAUUACAAGUAUAUCUAAAUAAAUGAUAUAUUUAUAAAUUGUAAUAUUUGAUCUAAAGUUUAAAUAAAUAAAAGAGAUACUCGUGACUUACAAUAAACGUAUUUUUUUUUUCAAUUUUUAAACAAAGCAAAAGUGGAUAACAAUUUUUCAAAAUGUAAAAAUCAACACAAUGGUUGGUUUCUUUAAUUAAUCAAUAACGUUUAAAGUUAAUUAAUGUCCAGAGUGGUUUGUACAUUUUGUAUUUCGCCGUAUUUCAACGUUCGAUGUGUAAAUAGAACUUGAUGCCUGAAAUAUCGAAAAAAUAAUUAAAUCCGAUCGUUCCGUCGAAUUUGCAAAUUGUAUACUCGUGUAAAAUCGA